GAUGAACGCUGGCGGCGUGCCUAAUACAUGCAAGUCGAGCGAACAGAUGAGGAGCUUGCUCCUCUGACGUUAGCGGCGGACGGAUGAGUAACACGUGGAUAGCCUACCUAUAAGACUGGGAUAACUUCGGGAAACCGGAGCUAAUACCGGAUAAUAUAUUGAACCGCAUGGUUCAAUAGUGAAAGACGGUUUUGCUGUCACUUAUAGAUGGAUCCGCGCCGCAUUAGCUAGUUGGUAAGGUAACGGCUUACCAAGGCAACGAUGCGUAGCCGACCUGAGAGGGUGAUCGGCCACACUGGAACUGAGACACGGUCCAGACUCCUACGGGAGGCAGCAGUAGGGAAUCUUCCGCAAUGGGCGAAAGCCUGACGGAGCAACGCCGCGUGAGUGAUGAAGGUCUUCGGAUCGUAAAACUCUGUUAUUAGGGAAGAACAAAUGUGUAAGUAACUAUGCACGUCUUGACGGUACCUAAUCAGAAAGCCACGGCUAACUACGUG
rnacentral:rRNA from 1 species